AUGGGACAGUAUGGGGAAAAUAAAGCCAGACUUUUCACACGAAGACCUGAACAUUAUCCUUCGUCAUCACACCAGAUCUUGGACUCUCUCACAGACUCAUCUGAACACAAACAAACCUACAAACAGAUCUGGUCUCAAUGCUGCACUUUUUAUAUUUUAAUAUAGUUCAUAGAUUCUAUAUAUUUUUGUAUAACUCUGUACAAUUUCCUCUCUAUUCUAGAUGCAGGCAGAAAACAGCGGAAAACUAAAUUUUGUACAUAGAGAGACAUAAAGACAAAACUUAUGAACAGAAAUCUGCUGUUAUAUUUAAAGUAGCUUCGUAUAUUUAAGAUGGUUUACAGAUUUAGUUACGCCAAACUUAAAUAUUUUAAAAAAUAAUUAAAAUGUGCUAUAUUUUUAUAUUUGUAAAUCUGAUAGGAUUAUCGAGCAAGUGAUAUUCACUUCAUAUUUUAAGACGGCAUUCAAUUUUAUAGUGUUUGGCUAGUGCUGGUGUUUGCGUUCACAUACUUGUGCAAUAUUUUUCUGGCUUUUGUCACAUUUAUACUGUAGUGUAUACUGUAAAUCAGAUGAUUGAGUGCCUUGAAAGUGACUGUACAGUCUCAAGGAAAAAAAAGGUGCAAAAGCUGUCUCUGCAGCAUUACCCUUUCAAACGGUAAUAAUAUGUACACUUCAGAUUCUAAUCUGUACUUUUAAAAUCCUAAUAUGUAUGUUUAAGAUACUAUACUACUACUGAGAGUCUAACUGUAAAAAAUGUUCAAUGCUGAAAUAAUAUGCAUUCUAUCUGAAAUAAUAUCUGCCUGUUGUUCAUCAGGAUCAUAACUGAUUAAUUUCAUGAUUUCUGACCAGUAUUUAGAACGAAAUGGAAAUCCCAUAAGAUUUGAACAUUAUUUACACAUGUAUUUAUGUUUAUAUUUCAACAUGACUUUUCUGUGAAAUGUAUGUUUAACCCUAGCAACAGACACCGAUGUCCUGAAACCGUCUGAAAACUCCUGGUGAUUCUUGUGUUAACACACUGAUGCUGAGAAUUCAUGCUGGUCGACAAAAAAAAUAAAUAAAAAAAGACAAAGCUCA
ensembl:lncRNA